UUCAGGGGUAAACCUGAGAAGCCCGAAAGGUCGAAUGGGGAAAUUCAUUCGCGUUUCGGCCGUCGGCGUUGGAUGGUCGUGUGACGGAUGGCGUACGCGUCGUCCGCGCCUUCCGUUCUUCGAACCGGCGUCGAACGCGUGCACUUUUCCCCUAGUAGGACGUCGCGAUCCGUUGGGUGUCGGUCUACGGCUCGCGGUGGAGCCCGUGCGGUCGCUUCGGCGUAUCGCACGGACCCGCGGUGUUCCGGCCGACUCGCUCGACGGUAUACAGAUGGCGCGGGGCCGCUACACAGUUAGCGUUCGGCCUGCGGCAAGCGCGUUCGUUGUUUGACGGCGAUCGGACCUGGUGCCGGUCCUGUCCGCGAACGACUGUUGGCCGUAGUGUUCUCGAACAGACCUCGUUUUGAAACGCCGAUCUGCGACGCUAUAGCUUUGGGUACUUUCAGGACCCACGGACCAAGGAGUCUAGCAUGUGCGCGAGUCAUUGGGACAUAACUAAACCUAAAGGCGUAAUGAAAGUGAAGGUCCGCCUUGCGCGGAUCGAGGGAGGAUGAGUGGUUCGCCUUUAAAGUGGCCACUCCGCACUCCCGGGGCGUCUCGUUCUCAUCGCGAGAAGAGGCGCACCAAGAGC
rnacentral:rRNA from 1 species